rnacentral:rRNA from 1 species
ACGAACGCUGGCGGCGUGCUUAACACAUGCAAGGCGAACGGAAAGGCCCUGCUUUUGUGGGGUGCUCGAGUGGCGAACGGGGGAGUAACACGGGAGUAACCGGCCCUUGACUUUGGGAUAACUUCAGGAAACUGGGGCUAAUACCGGAUAGGAGCUGCUGCGGCAUGGGGGGGGUUGGAAAGUUUCGGCGGUUGGGGAUGGACUCGCGGCUUAUCAGCUUGUUGGUGGGGUAGUGGCUUACCAAGGCUUUGACGGGUAGCCGGCCUGAGAGGGUGACCGGCCACAUUGGGCCUGAGAUACGGCCCAGCCUCCUACGGGAGGCAGAAGUGGGGAAUAUUGCACAAUGGGCGGAAGCCUGAUGCAGCAACGCCGCGUGCGGGAUGACGGCCUUCGGGUUGUAAACCGCUUUCGCCUGUGACGAAGCGUGAGUGACGGUAAUGGGUAAAGAAGCACCGGCUAACUACGUG